rnacentral:rRNA from 1 species
GACGAACGCUGGCGGCGUGCCUAAUACAUGCAAGUUGAGCGCUGAAGGUUGGUACUUGUACCAACUGGAUGAGCAGCGAACGGGUGAGUAACGCGUGGGGAAUCUGCCUUUGAGCGGGGGACAACAUUUGGAAACGAAUGCUAAUACCGCAUAAAAACUUUAAACACAAGUUUUAAGUUUGAAAGAUGCAAUUGCAUCACUCAAAGAUGAUCCCGCGUUGUAUUAGCUAGUUGGUGAGGUAAAGGCUCACCAAGGCGAUGAUACAUAGCCGACCUGAGAGGGGGAUCGGCCACAUUGGGACUGAGACACGGCCCAAACUCCUACGGGAGGCAGCAGUAGGGAAUCUUCGGCAAUGGACGAAAGUCUGAACGAGCAACGCCGCGUGAGUGAAGAAGGGUUUCGGAUCGUAAAACUCUGUUGGUAGAGAAGAACGUUGGUGAGAGUGGAAAGCGCAUCAAGUGACGGUAACUACCCAGAAAGGGACGGCUAACUACGUG